rnacentral:rRNA from 1 species
UACAGAGGGUGCGAGCGUUGUUCGGAAUUAUUGGGCGUAAAGGGCGCGUAGGCGGUGCGGUAAGUCACCUGUGAAAUCUCCCGGCUCAACCGGGAGCUUGCAGGCGAAACUGCCGUGCUGGAGUGUGGGAGAGGUGCGUGGAAUUCCUGGUGUAGCGGUGAAAUGCGUAGAUAUCAGGAGGAACACCUGUGGCGAAAGCGGCGCACUGGACCACAACUGACGCUGAGGCGCGAAAGCUAGGGGAGCAAACAGG